CUGGUAGCCUUCAGGUAGAUGGUAACCUUCAAGUAGCUGGUAGCCUUAAGGUAGCCUUCAGGUAGCUGGUUGCCUUCAGGUAGCUGGUAGCCUUCAGAUAGCCUUCAGUCUGCAGGUGGCCUUCAGG